AUAAGGACAAAAACUAACUAGAAAGUGCAUUUUCUGAAGAAACUGCAGUGUGAAUGCUUGAAUCUGAAUGUAUGGACUGAAAUGAAUUAAUUGCUGAAUUUUGAGUUAAAAAUUUUGAAUGAGAUAAAAAAACAAAAAAAACAACCUGAAUUUAACCUGAAAACAACAGUGCUGAACUGCUAAAAGCUGAAGGUUACACAGAAGAAGAAGUUGGAAAAAAGCUGAAAAUGUUUUAAUUGUAAAUUAGAAAAACCUAAGAAAUGAGAAAAGAACAUUUAGAGUCAGAAAACAUCUGAAAGAAUAUUAAAAGGUCAUAUUCUUUGAAUCACUGAAUGACUAAAAUGUGAUCCCUCCACUUGGACCCACACAGUUUAAAAAGUUUACAUCUCUGAGCUUUGAAAGACAAGAUGUUGGAAAGAGAACAACGAUGGCGACGUUUUGAGGGUAAAAUGAUGGCUGUAACACUGUGGACACAGCAGCAGUUGAAAGAGAAGUGCUUAAGAUGAAUCUUGGUACAGUGGCAGGCAGAGCUCGUUAAGCAGGCAGGUGUGAGCCUGGUUGCUAUAGUGACCGCACCCAAUGGCUCCAUACACACGUACACAGACAUGCGCCUCACUUUUGCUGCUUAAAAUGAACAGAAAAGUCAGGCCGAAACAAAUCGUUCCCAAAUGAAAAGUAAAAGUCGUAUUGACAAAAUUCUUUCACCGUGAGCGACAGCAGCUUCUAGUCUACCGAAUUCUCAGUUUUCAUGCCUGUGGAGUUUAUUAUAUGGACGUGGUGACAGUGUAAAGACACCAUGCUCUUCUGAUUUUCAAACGAACCUUCUGAGCCAUUUUAACAUUAGAGUCUAUGGAAGAGUUGGAGGGAGGAGGCUGUGCAUUGGUGACAUUUAUGAAAGAACCAUAACACCUAGUACAAUAGUAAACACAUUGGAUGAAAGAGGACAGCCAUGGCUACGUUUUGAGGGUAAAAUCAUACCUGUAGAGCAAACGCUGCGGACACAGCAGCAGUUUUAAAAAAGAUUUUAAGAUAAAUUUUUUUGCUCCUCUCACUCUAGCAGUUGAGCUGCCUCACUCUAGCCCC
ensembl:lncRNA